CAACCUGCCUUUCAGUGGGGGACAACAGUUGGAAACGACUGCUAAUACCGCAUAAUGCAUUUUGACCGCAUGGUCGAGAUGCCAAAGAUUUAUUGCUGAAAGAUGGGCUCGCGUCUGAUUAGAUAGUUGGUGAGGUAACGGCCCACCAAGUCGACGAUCAGUAGCCGGACUGAGAGGUUGAACGGCCACAUUGGGACUGAGAUACGGCUCAG
rnacentral:rRNA from 1 species